GUCAUUAAAAUGGCGUCUGUGCUAGAGAUCAGGCGCUAUGCUUGUUAUGUUGUACGCUUUAAUUCUGAUCGAGAAUUCGUAGCUUGAAAUAGAAAAGGUUAUUGGAAAAUGGAUGAAAUUCAGUCUCGAGGACCUGGGACUUUUGUGCCCUUAGCUGAAGAUACAGCAGGAGAACAAGGCAGCAGUGGUUCAGGAGGUGAAGGAGGUGGGGAUGGAAAUGGAGAUGAAUCUGGUGAAGCACAAGAUGAGGAAUCAUCUUCAUCAAAUACACUGGUAACUAUGGAAACUGAACUGGAGAACUUCAGACAAGAGUGGAGAAGAGAGCUAGAAGAAUCACCCCAAUUUGAUGCUUCAGUGGGAGCUAGCAGGGGGAAUACUGCAGAACUGAGUGAAAGUCACAAGGAAGAGAUAGUAGAAGAAAAGGCUCGAAGGUAUUUUUUACAAGGGAUUAAUGCUGAGCAGUCAGGAAGGCUUUAUGAAGCUAUAUCAUUCUACAGACGAGCUGUUCAGCUUGUUCCAGACAUUGAAUUUAAGAUGUUUGACAACUCUGGAAAGAUGCAAACUGAUAAUGGGAGUGAUACAUCUGAUGACAGUGCUGUUGAAGAAGAAGAAGAUGUUUUGAAUGAGGAUGGUGAUGUUUCUGAUUUGGUGACAAAAUUUAAUAAUCUGUCGGCUCUUUCUGGUUGUACCUUGAUUUGUCAACCUGAUCUAGAUCAAAAGACUACUCAUAUAUCUGCACUGCCAAGAGAAGUCUUCAUGUACAUAUUGAGAUGGUUGGUGUCAAGUGACUUUGAUUUUCAUUCAUUAGAACAGGUUUCUAUGGUUUCUCGGGGAUUUUACUUAUGUGCUCGAGACCCAGAAAUUUGGCGUCUGGCUUGCUUAAGGGUAUGGGAUGUUAAUUGUGGUCAUCCCAACAAAUAUGGCACCUGGAGAGACAUGUAUGUGCAGAGACCCAGGCUCAGAUUUAAUGGUGCAUACAUCAGUAGGACAACUUAUGUGAGGUAUGGGGAAGCAAUGUUUCAGGAUGCCAGCUACAGGCCGUGCUAUCUAGUGGAAUACUACCGUUAUUUACGGUUCUUCCCUGAUGGUAUGGUCUUCAUGUUGACCACACCUGAUGAUCCCUAUCAGUCUCUUGCAAAGUUACGCCACCGAAAGGUUCGUCACACAACUGUGCUUACUGGCCACUAUCGACUGUUGGGUAACUCUGUGUCCAUUAUUGCCAAACGACCGAAAGUUGAGCUCCCUGUAGGUAGCAACUAUUUCCGAUAUCGCCGUAACAAACAGAAUUUGUCUCAUGAUCCAGGGGAACAGCAGUAUCACCUGAAACUUGAAGUUAGAAAUAUAAAGCACCGUACAAACUUUCAGCUUUUGUGGCAACAUUAUGCUAUACAUACUAAGUACAGAAAUGGACAAGAAACAGUUUCCAGCUUCGAUCUUACCCCCAAAACUUUUCCACCAUUCUGGUUUUCAAGAGUACGAAGUUUUACAACAGAGUCUAUUAGUCCACUUCAGUAGACGAGUGGUAGUGGAACUUUUUUUUAAGAGAUGCCAUUGUAGUUUUUAGUUUCAAAGCUGUUUUUGGUAACAGUUUGUUUUCAUAUAUAUAUGUACUUUUGAACACAUAAGUUUGUAGCUCUCUCUCUCUGCAUGUAUUUUAUUAUCCUAAUAUCAAAAUAACAAAUAAAAUUGUUAUCGCAUACCUUAAUUUUGUUGCCAGGAGCAUUGAUAAUUUUUUUGUGAAUUUUAUUACGUACUUGCAAACUGAUCUUGUCUUUGUAGCGUGUGUUGAAUGGACAUUGGUUUAAUAGUAUGUUUUGUUUGUAGAAAAAGAACAUCUUGUAUCAAGAUUGACAUACAUGCUUUUUAACAGAUUACAACUUUUCUUUUGAUACUAAAGUUCAACUUGCAGAAUGAAAUUUUUUUUGAAUUUCAUUAAAGAAUGUCAGAAUGUUUUAGUUAUGUGAAAACUGAUAUACGUUACUGGUAAUGUAGAUAAGUAAAAUUUACAAACAAAAUUUGAAAGAAAUUUAGAAAAUAAUGAUUGACAACUGUUUUUCCCAUAUUUUUCUGAAUUAAAAAAUGUUUUAAAAUAUGUUUUUGAGCUGUAAAUUGAUCAUUUUUAUUGUGCAACUAAUGAUUAUAUGGAUGGUGUUAUGCAAAUGGGAUCUAACCCAAAAUUCUUAGUUUUGAGUAAAUGACCAAAAUGUUUCACUUUCCUACAAAAAAUCAUUGAUGAAUACCAGAUGUUCUUUCUUAUUUUAAUCAAUGGAGAUCGCUACUAUGUGUUAGAACAGAACAUUUACAUAACAAUAAACUAUUCAUUAUGAUGACAAUUAGUGGUUUAGGACAUUUUUGCCUAACUUAGAUUUCACAAAACUGCUACUUUUCAAAAAGAUAUCAAGAAACGUAAUAAUAUGCAAAUCAGAUUUUUAAGAAGUUGUAGAUUUAUUCAAAAAGACAAUUACCUAAACAAAUAUUUUCAUUCUAAUCAUUGGUGGUUAUUGUUGUAGCUCUUGAUGUAAAUAGAGCAAGGUUAGUCGUCCUCAAUAAGAUAAUCCAUCUCUACAUCAAAGCCGUCCACAUCAUCAACAAUGUUCUCAUCUUGAAGGAUGGAGUGGUAGAACGGCUUGCAGGCAUCUGGGAUGAGACACAUUAGGUCUCUUAGAUCAUUGUGCUUGGCUGCUGACACUUUUUCUCUCAGGCCAUAGCAAAAGCAAGACUUUAACAAAAGGUAAGCUG
rnacentral:misc_RNA from 1 species